GCACCAGGACCUUAAUCCCUUCGACAAUGAAGGUUGCAUUCACAAAUUCUAACGACCGGAAGGAACAUUCUAUUGCUUCAUCAUCUGUCCGUACGUAUGGCGCCUCGCAGGUAAUGGAGGCAAUGAUAUCUUCUUCCGCGUUUACGGUCACCAAUCGGCCUUCCGUUAUAAACUUGAGCUUUUAAUGUAAUGAUGACGACACUGUCCCCUCUAAAUGAAUCCAUG
rnacentral:lncRNA from 1 species